UUGAACGCUGGCGGCAUGCUUUACACAUGCAAGUCGAACGGUAACAGGCCGCAAGGUGCUGACGAGUGGCGAACGGGUGAGUAAUGCAUCGGAACGUGCCCAGUCGUGGGGGAUAACUACUCGAAAGAGUAGCUAAUACCGCAUACGAUCUAUGGAUGAAAGCGGGGGACCGUAAGGCCUCGCGCGAUUGGAGCGGCCGAUGUCAGAUUAGGUAGUUGGUGGGGUAACGGCUCACCAAGCCAACGAUCUGUAGCUGGUCUGAGAGGACAACCAGCCACACUGGGACUGAGACACGGCCCAGACUCCUACGGGAGGCAGCAGUGGGGAAUUUUGGACAAUGGGCGCAAGCCUGAUCCAGCAAUGCCGCGUGCAGGAAGAAGGCCUUCGGGUUGUAAACUGCUUUUGUACGGAACGAAACGGCUCUGGUUAAUACCCGGGGCUAAUGACGGUACCGUAAGAAUAAGCACCGGCUAACUACGUG
rnacentral:rRNA from 1 species